UUACAAAGAACCACAAAGAUAUGUUGCCGGUGAUGCAUAAGCAUACCUGUGGAAUUAACGCUCUCCAAUGAAGAAAUAGACCAAUUUCAAACUUGUAUUUAAUUGCCCAAUCUUAAUUAAUGAUUCGAGGUUGGUACAUGCAUGCAUACAUCCACAUCACAGUAGCAAUGUUAUUGACGUAAACCAGCUUUGAUACAUCAAAAUUGAUAUUAUGCUCCAUCACCGUAGCAACGUUCUUCCAACACCCAACAGCCAUGCCAAAAAUUUGUUAUGUGUCUCAAAAACUGCUAUAAAGUUUAUUUUAUUUAUAUUUUUUAGCAAUUUUUUCUUUUGAAUUUUAUCUAUAAAUUUCUCGAAUAUAAAAUUAUAUUAUAAUUUAUCUGUUACACUUAUUGUUUUAGUCUCGCUUCAUAUUUUCCAAAAUGUUUAUUGUCUUAUAAAAUUAGACAUUUUUUUUUCAUUUUUACUCUCAUUUUAUAAUCUUUCUCUCACUUAUCACUUUUUUUUUUGAUAAAUAUAUCACUUAUCACUCUCACUUUAUAAAAUGCUUGUUGUUUAAUUUAUUUGAUUGCUAUGCAGUUUCUCUGUUUUAGGACCUACAUUUUAUGGAUUUGAUUAUUUCACAUUUCUGGGUAGAGAUCACAUUUGAAAGGAAAAUGAUACAGCAGGUGCACACAAGCAGUUAAUAAAUCCAAUGAUACAAAUAGAGAACCAGUGAACUCAACAAAAUAAAAAAAUAAAGGUACCAGGUUGAAGAAAAUUAAACAAAUUCAGAGCUCCUGGAUCCUUUUCCUUUGUCCUUCCUUUGCUGUUUUGCUUUCAGUUUCAACACCCCAACCAUGCUCAAGAUGCACAUCAAAUUCACAAAUCUUUUACUCAACACAAAGUGUAUGCACUCAAAGGAUGAAGAUCUAACAGGUACAUACGGCGGGAAUCAUUGGUUCAAAUCCAAUAGUACGUAAGGUAAGGUAUAGGUUGAACUUAUUCGAUACCAGAAUCAAUGGUAUCGAAUAAGUAAUACUUCACCUAAGAUUUCAUCUUGUCUUGUGGAAGUUAUGUAGGCCAAGUGACAUUUGGGUUCUCCAUGAUCUGAAUCGAUUUCUUGGAAGGCGCUGAUAAGAAUGAUGCAACAAUGGGUUUUACCUUCUCAGUGGCUUUGAUUAUCACAAAAAAUAGCACUUGAAACAGAACAAUCAUGGCCAGCAAGAUUCUAAGAUCAACCCAUUUUGAGUGACUCAAGUCGACUUGCCUUUCAUUUCUCAGAAUCUCUUCACCACUAAUGUAAUUUGAUGAUGAGCCACCCCCACAAACUUCAUCAUUUCUAGAAAAUUUGAGUCCUUCAAAUUCUUUUUUGAACAUUCCUUGGUAAGCAUACCUAUGGAAAGCAACAUAGAACAAUGGGUAUCUCCAAAAUGGGUUAGGAAGAUCAUUUGGCAAUUUGAAGAAUUCUCCUCCCAAUAUCAUGAUUCCUUGGAUUCCAGAACCAGUUAUGAUACCUAUUAGAAAGUUUGGAACAAUACUUGCAACUAUCAUCAUAAGGCUCUCUACUAUCAUUAGACAAGAAAAUAGAACACAGAGAAAAUACAAAAAGUGCACAUAUCCUCUCUGAAGACCAGGAGGGUAAUAACUAAUAAGCUAUUGCUCCAGGAAUUAUUGUAACCAACAACAAGUAUGGGAUGGAUGAAAAAGUGUUCCCAAUAACAUAUGCAGUAACACCAUCAUGCCCAUGUAGUCUUUCACGUUCAAAUACCUGAAUCAAUAAUAGGAAACAAAAAAUUAAAUAAUAAUAAUAAUAAUAAUAAUAAUUGACUACAUGUAUUUGCAAAGUUGAGAAGAAAAAUGUUUGACACUUUGAAAUACCUUCAUGUCUUCCACAUAGGAAGGGAAUCCACCAAUGGUCAUCAUAGUUAUGAAUGUAGACACAAACAUGAGGAGUGAAAUUCUAUCCUGAAAUAACCAAAAGUGACUGCAGAAUUAGAAGACAUUAUCUAAAGUAAUAAUCAAUUGAAGUAGUGUAGAUUAUUAGAUGAGUCAUGCUGUAAUAUUUUCCACUGUUACCUUAAUUGAACCAUUUGUUGUACCAAGAUCAUAGAAGACAGUGGCUAAACUUGUAGUCAAUGCAAUAUAUACGGCAAGGCGUAACCAGUAAUAGCCUAGAUCGCGAAACAUAUUGACAGAUGAUCUUUUGGUAAGAACUAAGCAUUGAUUAAGGAAGCCAACAUGCUUUCUCCUCUUGUUUGUUGGAUUAGGGUCCUGAAAAUCCAUAAUAAUUUGAUGUUAAAAUUUCAUUAUUAACUUUGGAUCAUAUUUAGAUUUAGGUAUUUGCUAUAAGACCUUGUUAGCCAUAGAGGAUACCUUUUCAGAUAGUAUUGCUACUUCAUUUUGAACUUCUUGGUUCCAUUUAGAUGAUUUAUUGAUAAGUGUCAAAUCUACUUAAUUUUCAUAUCAUUCUUGGGCACUUAUUAGGGUUAGAAAUGUGAAAUAACUAUCAAAUUUACCCUCAAUUGUGAUGAUAUGGUUUACUAGAGGUCCUUGUAGAAUUUAAGUGUUAGUUAUCAAAUUUU